UUCCUUUCCUGCAAAGUGGAGGAGGAAUUUCUUCACUACUUAGCCUCAGGUGUCUGUGGUCAGCAGAGUAAAUGCCUCUCCAAGAGUCUGUAUCCUGAUUCCUGGAUCGGUGACUAUGUUAUGCUUCACCACAAAAGGGACAUUGUAGCUGUAAGGAUGGUAAAGCACAGAGGUUCAUCCAGAUUAUCCAGGAAGACUUCACCAUUAUGUUGAGAAGAAUUAUGGUUGCCAUCAAAAAAGCUGAGUGAUUUCUGGCUUCCUUUUCCUGCCUCAGAGCAAGGCACAUGUGACCUAAUCAUCAACGGGAUGUUCUCCACUUGGAUUUGACAUUAAGUCUACAGAAGUUUCAAGACAAAUAACCAAAAGGGUUGGGAUUUGAACACAGCUAUUUGACUCCAGAACAUAUGAAAUCCUGCCUCCCCUAUUUGG